AUGAUUCCAUCAUCUUUUGCCUCAAUGUCUUGUAGAUACACAGAGAACAGUCACCUUAAUCCUUAUGAACAGGUUGACUGUCUUGUGGAUGAUGCUGCAGCUUCUCUACGUACAAUGUUAGACACAGUGGCUCCUCUGAAGAAGAAGACAGUGAAUCAGAGGAGGUUAGCUCCGUGGUAUAACUCAGUGAUCUGCAGCCUAAAGCAAAGGACUAGACAACUAGAAAGACAGUGGCGUUCCAACAAAAUAAAUGUAAACUGCAUUGCAUGGAAGGACAGACUAAUGAAAUAUAAAAAAGCACUUUGUGCUGCUAGAAAAACAUAUUAUUCCUCCCUAAUUGAGGAAAACAAAAACAACCCCAGGUUUCUUUUCAGCACUGUAGCCAGGCUGACAAAGAGUCAUAGCUGUAUUGAGUCUACUAUCCCCUUAAAUCUCAACAGCAAUGACUUUAUGAACUACUUUACUAAUAAAAUUAUCAUCAUUAGAAAAAACAUUCAGCAGCGACUUCUUCCAAAUGACAGAAAGCACCUAGACAGCUUCUUCCCCAUAACUCAUAUGGAGUUAACCUCAAUAAUUAACUCUUCUAAGUCGUCCACUUGUCUUUUAGAUCCAAUCCCAACCAGAUUACUCAAAGAAGUUCUACCUUUAAUCAGCUCGUCCAUAUUAAAUCAAAUCAACCAAUCUUUACAACUAGGCUAUGCACCACAGGCUUUUAAGGUGGCUGUGGUCAAACCUCUAUUGAAAAAAACAACCCUUGACCCUGGACAACUAGCCAACUAUAGGCCCAUUUCAAAUUUACCCUUUAUUUCCAAGAUUCUGGAAAAAAUCGUGGCUAAACAAUUAUCUGACCACCUGAGUAACCUGUACGAAGAUUUUCAGUCAGGAUUUAGAAAACAUCAUAGCACAGAAACAGCUCUGGUUAGAGUCACUAAUGAUCUUCUAUUAGUUUCUGUCCUUGUCCUGUUAGAUCUUAGUGCUGCAUUUGAUACAAUUGAUCAUAACAUUCUAUUACAGACACUAGAACAUAGAAUGGGGAUUAAAGAAACA
rnacentral:lncRNA from 1 species